rnacentral:tRNA from 1 species
GGAAGGGUGGCAGAGUGGUCGAUUGCACUGGUCUUGAAAACCAGCGACGGGCGACCGUCCGUGGGUUCGAAUCCCACCCCUUCCG